CCUACGGGUGGCAGCAGUGAGGAAUAUUGGUCCAUGGUCGGGAGACUGAACCAGCCAAGCCGCGUGAGGGAUGAAGGUACAGAGUAUCGUAAACCUCUUUUGUCAGGGAACAAAGUCGGGGACGUGUCCCCGGAUGAGUGUACCUGAAGAACAAGCAUCGGCUACCUCCGUGCCAGCAGCCGCGGUAAUCCGGAGGAUGCGAGCGUUAUCCGGGUUUAUUGGGUUUAAAGGGUGCUCAGGGGGUCUGUUAAGUCAGCGGUAAAAGCCCGGGGCUCAACCCCGGCCCGCCGUUGAAACUGGCAGUCUCGAGUUGGAGAGAAGUAUGCGGAAUGCGCGGUGUAGCGGUGAAAUGCACAGAUAUCGCGCAGAACUCCGAUUGCGAAGGCAGCAUGCCGGCUCCACACUGACGCUGAGGCACGAAAGCGUGGGUAUCGAACAGGAUUAGAUACCCGAGUAGUC
rnacentral:rRNA from 1 species